UGUGUAGAAGCGGGAAAAUAUGCCGUAUUUUUCUUGGUAAAUCCUUGCUUCUCGCAGU
rnacentral:pre_miRNA from 1 species